rnacentral:lncRNA from 1 species
UUUUAUUCAAAUCUCAAAAGUAUUUUUCCUUAGAUAUUUUUGAGAUUAAAAGGGGUUUAACAAAAUAAAUAUAAUAAAAACACAACUUUUUAACUAAGCCAAAUAAAAUGAAAUCGAGUGUUUCAUCGAUUUUAUUUAUUUUUGCUCAAAAUUUUGAUAAAGAAACAAAAAAAAUAAAAUAAAAUGAAUAGAAGUUGGACACGGAAAAUAAAAA